GGGUUUUGGUCUUUAGGUAGGUAUCAGUUGGGAGGAAAGGUCUUAUCUCUCUGGUUCCAUGAAGUUGCUUCUUGGUGUUGUCAUCUUUCACCAUUUUUCUCAGCUCUGGUAACCCAACCUGGCAGCAGCCCAGAGGCCAUUAAUACUUGACUGGAGAGGAAGACUUGGCAGUGAAUUGACAGAAGGCACUUGAAUAACUUGUACUUCUGGAGUCUUCCUGAGUAACUCUAAACAUAUUCCUUCUUUCGUGAAAAGGUGGCUGGUUACAAUCUUGAGUCUAAGGGAAGAGAUAUUGGAGAAUUGGUGGAUACUGAAUUCUUGGCCCACAGCUUGAAUAUAGAAAUUGCAAGUCUGAGAAAACAAGUCUGGAGCUGAAAAUACUUCCCUGCAGUCCUGUGUGCUAAGAACAGAGAUUUGGCAAGUCAAAAUUAAAAUUAUUUUGAACAAGAUGUUUUGUCAUGAGCUAAUGGCCUGGGUGACCUUAAUAAGAAGAGUACACUUAUAUGCUUGAGGUGGAUGCAAAUGACUGAAAGUGCCCAGACUUCAGACUGCCUCUUCCUUGUUAGCCCUCCGACCUGUGGAGGUGGACAGCAUUCAAGAAAGAAGGCAAGCUGCAACCCAAUGAAUGACAAGAUUUCCUUCUCAUCCAUGGACGUGAGUGCCUCAGCUGAGCAGCUGAACUAAGAGUUUGGAGUGAGUCCUGAGAAGGGAAUUUAGUUAUGAUUUCACCCAUGUGAGCAGGAGUCCAGCAAACUGUCAAAAAAGGAAGUAAGACUCUAACAGCUGCUUAAGGCGAGUUCAGAAACAAAGGAGAUUUGUAACCACAACACUUUGUGCAGAAUAUGUUUCUACAGAGUGAAAAAUAAACAUGCCUCCUUCAGAAACUU